rnacentral:rRNA from 1 species
AUUGAACGCUGGCGGCAGGCUUAACACAUGCAAGUCGAACGAGUGGCGGACGGGUGAGUAAUAUCUGGGAACCUGCCUGAUAGAGGGGGAUAACUAAUGGAAACGUUAGCUAAUACCGCAUACUAUCCGAUCGGCCGAGAUAGGAUUAGCUUGUUGGUGGGGUAACGGCUUACCAAGGCGACGAUCAGUAGCUGGUCUGAGAGGAUGACCAGCCACACGGGCACUGAGACACGGUCCAUACUCCUACGGGAGGCAGCAGUGGGGAAUAUUGCACAAUGGGCGCAAGCCUGAUGCAGCCAUGCCGCGUGUAUGAAGAAGGCCUUCGGGUUUUAAAGUACUUUCAGCAGGGAGGCGGUACCCGAAGAAUAAGCACCGGCUAACUCCGUGCCAGCCGCCGCGGUAAUAC